CUUCGAUGGAUAGGGGUUCUGAGAGGAAGGUCCCCCACAUUGGAACUGAGACACGGUCCAAACUCCUACGGGAGGCAGCAGUGAGGAAUAUUGGUCAAUGGGCGAGAGCCUGAACCAGCCAAGUAGCGUGAAGGAUGACUGCCCUAUGGGUUGUAAACUUCUUUUAUAAAGGAAUAAAGUCGGGUAUGUAUACCCGUUUGCAUGUACUUUAUGAAUAAGGAUCGGCUAACUCCGUGCCAGCAGCCGCGGUAAUACGGAGGAUCCGAGCGUUAUCCGGAUUUAUUGGGUUUAAAGGGAGCGUAGAUGGAUGUUUAAGUCAGUUGUGAAAGUUUGCGGCUCAACCGUAAAAUUGCAGUUGAUACUGGAUAUCUUGAGUGCAGUUGAGGCAGGCGGAAUUCGUGGUGUAGCGGUGAAAUGCUUAGAUAUCACGAAGAACUCCGAUUGCGAAGGCAGCCUGCUAAGCUGCAACUGACAUUGAGGCUCGAAAGUGUGGGUAUCAAACAGGAUUAGAUACCCUGGUAGUCCACACGGUAAACGAUGAAUACUCGCUGUUUGCGAUAUACGGCAAGCGGCCAAGCGAAAGCGUUAAGUAUUCCACCUGGGGAG
rnacentral:rRNA from 1 species